AGCAGCUCGUCAUUGGGUCGCCACUUGCCGUCACCUCGCCUAUCGUCGUCGUCUCGUCGGUUGCCAUCCGUGUCUCCGUCGAAGGUUCAGUGUUGACUUCAACUUUCAAAUGGGAAUUGGGAGUUGGUAAAGAUAAUAACAUCUUCUGGAACUGAGUCUGUUGUUUUACUGCCUAAUGGGAAAGUAAGAUAUGAUCUAGAAUUACCAUAGUACAUAGUGAUGUUUGUUCCAUCUAGCUGGACUCAGUGAGACAACUGGAAAGUGUUCUUUUAAUUUAACCUUGUUAAUCAUAUCUUGUACAAUUCAGACAAAAGCAGGGCC